rnacentral:rRNA from 1 species
UACGAAGGGUGCAAGCGUUAAUCGGAAUUACUGGGCGUAAAGGGUGCGUAGGCGGUUUGUUAAGUCUGUUGUGAAAUCCCCGGGCUCAACCUGGGAAUGGCAAUGGAUACUGGCAAGCUAGAGUGUGUCAGAGGAUGGUGGAAUUCCCGGUGUAGCGGUGAAAUGCGUAGAGCUCGGGAGGAACAUCAGUGGCGAAGGCGGCCCUCUGGGUCACCACUGCCGCUGAUGCGCGUAAGCGUGGGGAGCAUUCUGG